rnacentral:rRNA from 1 species
CCUGGCUCAGAUUGAACGCUGGCGGCAGGCCUAACACAUGCAAGUCGAGCGCGAAAAUUCCUUCGGGGGAUGAGUAGAGCGGCGGACGGGUGAGUAAUGCGCAGAAAUCUGCCCAGGUAGUGGGGGACAACCUGGUGAAAACCAGGCUAAUACCGCAUACGCCCUACGGGGGAAAGCAGGGGAUCUUCGGACCUUGCGCUAUUGGAUGAGUCUGCGUCGGAUUAGCUUGUUGGUGAGGUAAUGGCUCACCAAGGCGACGAUCCGUAGCUGGUCUGAGAGGAUGAUCAGCCACACUGGGACUGAGACACGGCCCAGACUCCUACGGGAGGCAGCAGUGGGGAAUAUUGGACAAUGGGGGCAACCCUGAUCCAGCCAUGCCGCGUGUGUGAAGAAGGCCUUCGGGUUGUAAAGCACUUUAAGCGAGGAGGAAGGUUUUUAGUUUAAUACACUAAAGAAUUGACGUUACUCGCAGAAUAAGCACCGGCUAACUCUGUG